AUUGAACGCUAGCGGGAUGCUUUACACAUGCAAGUCGAACGAGUGGCGGACGGGUUAGUAAUAUAUCGGAACGUUCCCAGUAGCGGGGGAUCACUACUCGCCAGAGUGGCUCAUACCGCAUACUAUCAGAGCGGCCGAUAUGGGAUUAUCUAGUGGGUGGGGUAAAGGAUCACCAAGGCAACGAUCCGUAGCUGGUUUGAGAGGACGACCAGUCACACUGGGACUGAGACACGGCCCAGACUCCUACGGGAGGCAGCAGUGGGGAAUUUUGGACAAUGGGGGAAACCCUGAUCCAGCCAUCCCGCGUGUAUGAGAAGGCCUUCGGGUUGUAAAGUACUUUUGGCAUAGAAGCGGUAUCUGCAGAAUAAGCACCGGCUAACUACGUGCCAGCAGCCGCGGUAAUUC
rnacentral:rRNA from 1 species